rnacentral:rRNA from 1 species
UACGGGGGAUGCAAGCGUUAUCCGGAUUUAUUGGGUUUAAAGGGUGCGUAGGCGGACGCAUGAGUCAGUGGUGAAAGACUGAUGCUUAACGAUAGCAUUGCCAUUGAUACUGUGUGUCUUGAGUGUAGAUGAGGUAGGCGGAAUGUGUAGUGUAGCGGUGAAAUGCUUAGAUAUUACACAGAACACCGAUUGCGAAGGCAGCUUACUAAUCUAUUACUGACGCUGAUGCACGAAAGCGUGGGGAU